GAUGAACGCUAGCGGCAGGCUUAACACAUGCAAGUCGAGGGGCAGCAUAAAUAGUAGCAAUACUAUUGGUGGCGACCGGCGGACGGGUGCGUAACGCGUAUACAACCUUCCCUAAACAGGGGGAUAAUCUGGAGAAAUUCGGUCUAAUACCCCAUAACAUCAGAGCAGGCAUCUGUUUUGGUUAAAAUUUCCGGAGGUUUAGGAUGGGUAUGCGUAGCAUUAGCUAGUUGGUGAGGUAACGGCUCACCAAGGCGACGAUGCUUAGGGGGACUGAGAGGUUAACCCCCCACACUGGUACUGAGACACGGACCAGACUCCUACGGGAGGCAGCAGUGAGGAAUAUUGGUCAAUGGGCGGAAGCCUGAACCAGCCAUGCCGCGUGCAGGAUGACGGCUCUAUGAGUUGUAAACUGCUUUUGUACGAGGGUAAAGUGGGCUACGUGUAGCCUUUUGAAAGUAUCGUACGAAUAAGGAUCGGCUAACUCCGUGCCAGCCGCCGCCGUAA
rnacentral:rRNA from 1 species